CUUGUGACAUGUUUGAUCCAAUGAACUCUCUCCCCUUUUCCAGAUGCCUCAGUCUCUCUGGUGAAACUGGACUUUCAAGUCUGUGCAGCCAGCCGCAGAGGUAGGAGUGGGACAGGUAAAGCCCCCUUCUCCCCGCCCCUCGCAUGUGGAAAGAAGACUGGCUGGCCUUUCCCUUCUGCACUCCCUCCCCCCGCGGUUUAGGGCACCGAGCAGCCAAGCAACAAAAGCUGAAGGCGCCUACAGGUAACUUUCCCAAGAGAAGCUGGAUUCUUUCACUAAAGGAUAGCAGGCGAGAGGGACGAGCCGCGAGCUGAUUGGGUGGAGCGGGCCUUCAGGUGAGCAGCCAUUGGAAGAGGCGCGCUCAGAAACCAAACCAUUUUCAUCACGGCACUCCUGUAAUCCAAAUGAUUUCAAGUGGGUUUAAAUUCUGGCGCUUCAGGAAAUAAAAAGGCUUCCCUGCUAUCUCUCACAAAAGGGGCAGGCAUGAGUCAAACUGCUUCCUAUCAGCAUUUCCUGCACCUGCAGUUUAAGUUAUAUUAUUUACAGAGCUAUGAUUCAUUUCAGAAAAGAAAACACUCAUUGCAUCUGCCACAGGAGGAUGAAACUCUGCUAAUGCAAAGGGAGGGAAAAUUUU